rnacentral:rRNA from 1 species
GACGAACGCUGGCGGCGUGCUUAACACAUGCAAGUCGAACGCUGAAGCUCAGCUUUUGUUGGGUGGAUGAGUGGCGAACGGGUGAGUAACACGUGAGUAACCUGCCCCCUUCUUUGGGAUAACGCCCGGAAACGGGUGCUAAUACUGGAUAUUCACUUGUCUUCGCAUGGGGGUUGGUGGAAAGGGUUUUUCUGGUGGGUGAUGGGGUCGCGGCCUAUCAGCUUGUUGGUGGGGUGAUGGCCUACCAAGGCUUUGACGGGUAGCCGGACUGAGAGGGUGACCGGGAAGAUUGCGACUGAGAUACGGCCCAGAAUACGACGGGAGGCAGCAGGGGGGAAUAUUGCAGAAUGGGCGCAAGCCUGAUGCAGCGACGCCGCGUGAGGGAUGGAGGCCUGCGGGUUGUGAACCUCUUUCGCUCAUGGUCAAGCCGCAACAAUGGUUGUGGUGAGGGUAGUGGGUAAAGAAGCGCCGGCUAACUACGUG